UGGACGAGAGGGUAGCCUCCCUCUGCCUACGUGUGGGGGGACGGGUUCUGACUGUUGUCUGUGCUUAUGCACCAAACUACAGUUCAGACUACCCACCCUUUUUGGAGUCCUUGGAGGAGGUGCUGGAAAGCACUCCUUCUGGUGACUCCCUCAUUCCGCUGGGGGACUUUAACGCUCACGUGGGCAACGACAGUGAGACCUGGAGAGGUGUGGUGGGGAGGAACGGCCCCCCUGAUCUGAAUUUGAGUGGUGUUUGUUGUUGGAUAUCUGUGCUCGUCAUGGCUUGUCUAUAACUAACACAAUUUUCAGACAUAAAGGUGUCCAUAUGUGCUCUUGGCACCAGGAUACCUUAGGCCGCAGCUCGAUGAUCGACUUUGUUGACAUUUCAUCUAAUCUGCAACCGCAUGUCUUGGACACUCGGGUAAAGAGAGAGGCGGAGCUGUCAACUGACCACUACCUGGUGGUGAGUUGGCUUUGAUGGUGGGGGAAGAUGCCGGUCAGACCUGGCAGGCCCAAAGGUAUUGUGAGGGUCUUCUGGGAACGUCUGGCAGAGUCUCCUGUCAGAAGAAGUUUAAAUUCUCACCUCGGACAGAACUUCCAAAAUGUUCUGGGGGAGGCGGGGGACAUGGAGUCCGAGUGAGCCAUGUUCCGUGCUUUCAUUGUCGAGGUGACUGACCGGAGCUACGGCCGCAGGGUUGUUGGUGUCUGUCGUGGUGGCAACCCCCAAACCCACUGGUGGACACCAACGGUUAGGGAUGCCGUCAAGCUGAAGAUAAAGAGUCCUAUAGGGUCUGUUUGGCCUGUGGGACUCCAGAGGCAGCUGAUGGGUACCGGCAGGCCAAGCGGAAUGCGGCCCAGGUUGUCACAGCAUGCUGCAUAGUGUUGGAACCCAAGUUUUUUUCAUUUUUAUUCGUGUUUUUUUAGUGGUCGAAGGUUACAUUACUAGAUUACUGCCUAUGUGUAUAUACAUGUACCUAUAUCAUAAUUUUCUUCUGAUUAUCCCCUUAAGUGUUGGUGCUGCUGUAACAAGUGAAUUUCCCCACUGUGGGAUCAAUAAAGUGUAUUCUAUUCUAUUCUUCCUAAAGGAUUAUUAGGAACACCAUACUAAUACGGUGUUUGACCCCCUUUUGCCUUCAGAACCGUCUUAAUUCGACGUGGCAGUAGCCACAUUUACAUGCGCAUAUUUCAUCAGAUUGAACGCCCAAUCAGAUAAAAAAUUCUGCAUGUAAACAUGUCAAUCAAAUAUUCUGAUCCGAUUUGGCCCGAUCGGAUUGAAAUUUCAAUUCGAUUGAGGGAGGUGGUUUUGUCCGAUCAUCAUUCUGAUUGACGUGCAUGUACACAGCUAUUCGGAUUGUUGGGGUAAAAUAAUGCCCACUGCGCAUGUGUGCAACAGCGAGCGGGCCUCUCCGCUGUCAUUUGGACUGCCUGACUUCAAAAAUGACAGCGUAAUCAAUGAGCAGAGGCUUUUAAAUUUGAUAACAAGCCGUCCCGUUUCAGUAAUAUUUAAUUCAGAACUUGCAUUUUGUAGAAGUAAAAUAAAAAUCUGAUUAUUGCACAAAUCACUCGACAAACAUUUUCAAAUCUGUACUGGAAAUACCCAAGUUUAUUGCGGAGGUUGCAGCGCACAGAUCCCCGUUUCUGUCAGCUUUGAACGCAGCAACUUCUGCAGCAGGUGAUGGAGACGCCAGAGACGCUUGUAAAGAAGACAGGAUAAUAUCAGUUUUACAGACCUGAUUGGAGGCUGAUGUUGGGUAGGAAAACAUCCUCGGUUAAAUAUUCUGGACAACAGUAAAGUCCGUGUUAAAAGCACAUUAACGCAGAUGACCUGAGAUGCGGUUCGUUAAUGAUGAACACAGGCUUCUAAACUUUCUGAACGUCUUCUGUUGUUUUAUUUUAAACAGAUUUUUCUCAACAGUUUCAGCUGAUUGUCACAUGUUAAGAAUAAUAAGCCACAACAGAGCUCAGUAAUAAAACAUGAGUCUAAACGCCCCCAUCCCCACUCUGCGCCACAGUGCAGCGCAACGGCAUAUCUGUCACUUCAGACCCACGGACCAGCUGAUCAAGAGGCAGAAACAUAACCCUCCCUUAUUUUAAUCAACAAUAAAAAUGCAGCAAAGCAUAGAUCUGCAGUUAUUCACUGAAGAAAACGUAACUUCUAUGAGCAAAAUAAAAAUAUUGAAGUGAAUAAAUGAAUCGGGAAAGCAGGAAGAAUUGUUAUUUCUGUUUUUACAUUUUUCAUUUCAUUUCAUGGUGUUUGUUUACAAUUUUUCUUCCGGGAAAGGCAACUUUCUGCGCAUGCUCAACCUAUUUAAUCGGAUUAAAUGCUUGAUGCAUUUAUAAGCACGGCAUGAUCAGAUCAUUUCAGUUUGUGUCCAUGUGAACAGUGAUUCAGAAAUUCCGAUCAACCAAGAUUUGAAUUGGAUUGAGGAAAUUUGGUGCAUGUAAACAUGGCUACUGAGUCAACAAGUUGCUGAAAGCAUUCUUUAGAAAUGUUUGCUCAUAUUUAUAGGAUAGCAUCUUGCAGUUGAUGGAGAUGUGUGGGAUGCACAUCCAGGGCACGAAGCUCCCGUUCCACCACAUCCCACAGAUGCUCUAUCGGGUUUAGAUCUGCUGACUGUGGGGGCCAUUGUAGUACAGUGAACUCAUUGCCAUGUUCAAGAAACCAAUUUCAAAAGAUUGGAGCUUUAUGACAUGGUGCAUUAUCCUGCUGGAAGUAGCCAUCAGAGGAUGGGUACAUGGUGGUCAUGAAGGUAUGGACAUGGUCAGAAACAAUGCUCAGGUAGCCUGUGGCAUUUAAACCAUGCCCAAUGGGCACUAAGGGGCCUAAAGUGUACCAAGAAAACAUCCCCCACACCAUGACACCACCACCACCAGCCUGCACAGUGGUAACAAGGCAUGAUGGAUCCAUGUUCUCAUUCUGUUUACACCAAAUUCUGACUACCAUUUGAAUGUCUCAACAGAAAUCCAGACUCAUCAGACCAGCAACAUUUUUCCAGUCUUCAACCAUCAUAUUUUGGUGAUCUUGUGCAAAUUGUAGCCUCUUUUUCCUAUUUGUAGUGGAGAUGAGUGGUGCCCCGUGGGGUCUUCUGCUGCUGUAGCCCAUCCACCUCAAGGUUGUGCAUGUUGUGGCUUCACAAAUGCUUUGCUGCAUUCCUCGGUUGUAACGAGUCACUUCAGAUAUUAAAUAAAUAAAUAUCAUAAUAAUAAUAAUAAUAUACGGAAUAUUAAACAUUGAACUAAACUGAAUACGAGUUCAACGUACCAUUACACCCCUAGUAAUGAUUGUGGGUUGAGACACCUGAAUCAGAAUGCGAAAACAGUAUGACUCAGUGGAUUUAAAAAUACACACAGAUGAUGGAAAAAAUCAGAGUAUGGGGAAGCUGGCAACUCCUCCUUUUGUUGCAUUUUUAAAAUGGGAAGUGUGGGUGAAGUUAUACUCUGGGGUGACUUGCUCUUUAAGGAAAUUAUUACUGUUAUGUCUAUAGCUUGACAUUAGAUCUAUUUUUCUUUUCUUUGCAGCAUCUUUCAAAAGAUAAAAGCUGAGAAACAAAAGCAAUGGGCUCGACCAAAGUUCUGAAGAUGAACCCACCUUGUGCACCCAAAGGCCUACAGGGAAAUCAAAGAAGAAGCAGACCAACAAAGGAACACCCACCCAUUCCCCUUCCCUGCUCACUGUCCAUGGUUUUACUCAAGAUCAUCCAGAUAUGAUGAGCCAAGAACCUUCAGGAGCUGAGUGGUCUAAGGAGUCAAAUGGAAAGGACAAAACAGACAUGGAUCAACAGGAUUUAACCUCUAAGAAAUUCAACCGAAAGAUUUGGAGCAAAUCUGGGAAAGAAGCGGUUUGGCAACAGCUUGGUCGGUACAUCACUCUUGAAAGAGUUCCUGGUAAAAUGCUGUGUGUGAAAGCACUCAGUACAGAGACAGCACUUUAGAACAGAAGUUGGAAAGAUGUAAAAAACUGCAUCUAUAACCACAUCCCUGAUCAAAAAAGAAAAAGGCUGUAGUUUUUGCGUUAAAAGCAGCAGGAGCUGAGUUAAUGCAUGUAAUGUUACAAGCAGAGCAUUUAAUGAUACCUAGUUAUUUUUAUUUUAUGAGACAUUGGAAAUAUGUUAAAAACUAUAAUUAUAACAGCAUUGCAGAUCAAAAAUGUUACAAGCAGAGCAUUUUAUGGUACCUAAAGAUAUUUAAAUUUUAUUACAUGUUGGAAAGAUGUUAAAAACUAUAAGUAGAACAGCAUCACAGUAGCAUUGCAGGGAUUAAUCGUUUUGACUAUUAACCCUGGUUAACCCCAAGUAAAUAGAUCUUCAACACCAUCAAACUAAAACAAAAAGACAAUAGCGUUACUCGUAAGUACAAAAACAAAACUGAAACUGAACACGCGCCCGCAGCAGAAGCAUGAUCAGUGAAAACAACCAUCGGGACUCCUCCAUUUCUACCUCGGAAGAGGUUGAAUUCUCCUGUGUGGGAAUAGUUUAGAUAUAUUAGAUAUCAUCCCACACAGGAGACUUCAACCGCUUCUUAGGUGGAAAUGGAGGAGUCCCGAAGGUUGUUGUCACUGGUU